AUUGAACGCUGGCGGCAGGCCUAACACAUGCAAGUCGAGCGGAGCGGCGGACGGGUGAGUAAUGCCUAGGAAUCUGCCUGGUAGUGGGGGAUAACGUCCGGAAACGGGCGCUAAUACCGCAUCCUAUCAGAUGAGCCUAGGUCGGAUUAGCUAGUGGGUGGGGUAAAGGCCUACCAAGGCGACGAUCCGUAACUGGUCUGAGAGGAUGAUCAGUCACAGUGGAACGUGGACACGGUCCAGACGCCUACGGGAGGGAGCAGUGGGGAAUAUGGCACAAGGGGCGAAAGCCUGACCAGGCCAGGCCGCGUGUGUGAAUAAGGUCUUCGGGUUGUAAAGUACGUUAAGUGGGGAGGCGUUACAAGCAGAAGAAGCACCGGCUAACUCCGUGCCAGCAGCCGCGGUAAUUC
rnacentral:rRNA from 1 species